rnacentral:antisense_RNA from 1 species
CCAGCUGUAUCUUCUUUUACCGAUGAGGACACUGACAGAGACAGGGUCUCACUCUGUCACCCAGGUUGGAGUACAGUGGCACGAUCAUAGCUUAACGUAAACUGGAACUUCUGGGCUUAAGCGAUGCUCUCGCUUCAGCCUCCCAAGUACCUGGGACCACAGCUGGGAAAAAGCAAAUCCUUGAGGAAGCUCACCUUCUCCACACUGCUCAUCGCCUGGAAAUAGAUGUUGUAUCCUUUGCGCGGAGCCAAAGGAGGGUUCCAAAAGCCUUGUCCUUCAAUCCACAUUUCAAUUAACUUCCUUGUUCUCCCAAUACCUCAUAUUGAGUGAUGAUUCCAUUUGGAUCCAAAGGUUCUUUCCAGUUCAAGAAGAUCUUAUUUUCAAAGGAUGUUCCUUGAAGAGAUUUUACUGUGAACUUCACACAUGACAUUAUCCAGAAAUGUAGUUUCAAAGUAUAUAGCAAUUUUGUGAGGAUUGAAAUAAAUUAAAAAUCACUGGAUCAAGGGAAAUACAUUGCAUUGUGGCUAGGAGCAUCAAGAAAUUCUGAAUGAUAUGUCACGAGAGCAGGAUUUAUUUCAAUCUACAAGGAGACUAUGAAUGAUACUAUGACCUCUGAGACAGGCAACAUAAUUUGAUACAUUGAGGAAAGAAACCCACAAUAAACAGAAAAUAUGCCAGCACUAAACUUUAGAAGAUAUGUUCAAGCCAUUGUCAGCCGAAAACUAUGAGAGAAGUUAACUGAAUGCAUCCACUCCC